rnacentral:lncRNA from 1 species
UGCUGGCACUAAUGGGCUGUACAAUCUGAACAGCAACUGUUGGUUGAAUUCGGUACUACAGUCCUUGAAUCAAAUUGUGUUUCCAGAAUUAGACAGAAAUAGCAAGAUAAUGUCCCACCCAACCACAAUGGAUUUUUUUUUUUUUUUUUAUAUUGAAGCAAUGUACUAUUCAUUUAAAUAUAUAUUCGUUUGGACGUAGUCAGGUAAUUGC